rnacentral:rRNA from 1 species
GUGGGGAAUUUUGGACAAUGGGCGCAAGCCUGAUCCAGCAAUGCCGCGUGCAGGAAGAAGGCCUUCGGGUUGUAAACUGCUUUUGUACGGAACGAAACGGUCCUGGUUAAUACCCGGGGCUAAUGACGGUACCGUAAGAAUAAGCACCGGCUAACUACGUGCCAGCAGCCGCGGUAAUACGUAGGGUGCAAGCGUUAAUCGGAAUUACUGGGCGUAAAGCGUGCGCAGGCGGUGCUGUAAGACAGGCGUGAAAUCCCCGGGCUUAACCUGGGAAUUGCGCUUGUGACUGCAGUGCUGGAGUGCGGCAGAGGGGGAUGGAAUUCCGCGUGUAGCAGUGAAAUGCGUAGAUAUGCGGAGGAACACCGAUGGCGAAGGCAAUCCCCUGGGCCUGCACUGACGCUCAUGCACGAAAGCGUGGGGAGCAAACAGGAUUAGAAACCCCAGUAGUCC